UAAGCGCACCCUAAUACUUGCAUUAGUCCGUUCUAUUCUGAUUUUUGAAAAAGCGCGUUUGUUUACAAACAAGAGAAAAGUCCGGUCACUUGAUAUGCAAAUUAGCCUAUGGCUGCGUGUUAUUCUUUGUCACCACUGCGCCGGCGUGUCAGUUCAGCCUGGUUCCCUGCGUAUGCUGCGCUGGCGCUACACUGAGAGAAGUGGUUACAAAAACGGAGUUAUUUCCUUUAGCUAACUAUUUCUUGAUUUGUUAUUGCAUCGCUAUAUCAGUCGAUCUGAAAGUACUUCUUCAUACUGCAGAACAGGCUCAACUCGUUACAUUGACAACAAACAGGGAAGUGAGAUCACGACGUUACCUGACACUAAUGCUGAAGGGGUUGUUGUCGACACAGGUAUGUACUCCGGAUGAAAUGGCAUGUUCAAGCUUAGCUCAAGAAGACCUGGAGUGUCCUAUAUGUACCGACCUCUUUCAUGAGCCUAAGUUGCUUCCCUGCGGACAUAGAGUUUGUUCAGCAUGCCUCAACAAUUACAUGAAGUCUUUAAAUACGCAAGGUUGUGCAUGUCCAUUGUGCAAAAACCCUUUCAGGGGAAAUAAAAAAUUCCCAACUGAUCACAUCCUUCAGAAUCUGAUAAAGGACAGAAAAAGCCUUUCGUAUGGCAUGUGUAGGGUUCAUGGUUUGCAUCAAAGGCGAUACUGCAUCACCUGCUCCAUGCCUGCGUGCGCUGAGUGUGUCCUCGAAUGUCACAAGCGUUGUACAAAUGUGCUUCUUAUGGAAGAUGCUACAAGGUCGAUAGAAGCACAACUGCGAAGGUUCUCAAAAGAACUGGAUAAAAACCUCAUGAACAUAAAAUCAUCUGAAGAUGCUGCUUCAUCCAAGAUGAAGGAAAUAGCCCAGCGGAACACUGAGGCAGUGGAACAACUCGAAAAGGCGAAGGUCGAUUUCGUAAACCACGUUACAAAUAUGCAAGUCACCAUAAAUGGGGCGAGUCAGUCCAGUGUCUCACAACUGCAGGGUUAUAUAGGAACAGUGAAGCUCCUUAUGUCAAAGACGGAGGAACUUGACCGUUGUUUGAAGGGAAGUCUUAACAGUGGAAGCAGUGAAAGAAUGUCUGAAUCAAUCACUAAAGUUAUAGAGAAGCAAGGGUUCCUGUGCACGAUACCACAACGCUUGAAGGAGAACAUAAGGCUGACCAGGCCGCUAACGAAGAUGCCAUCAGUAGACUUAGGACAUGUCAGUUUCAGGAAAGAGGACUUCCAAGGUGUCAAAGGAAAUCCUUGUCUCAGAUGCAUGUCAUUUCUCGUGAAACUAUUUAUCAUUUUAAUUUACCUAUUAGUGUUUACACUGACAUUGAUGAUCUCAUACGAAAGAUAUACUCACUGUCACAGGUUCUUUCCUGAUUCACGAUUCCACCUAGGAGGACGUUGCAGUUUCAUGUGGUCUGCAUAGAACAGAUUUCUGGAAGUCAGACAAAAGACGGAUGUGGGCAAAAUUAAUUGUGCUUUUGCUGAUGGUAUUCAUGAUCGGUGACCAUACAUGACAUCAAUGGCUUAUUUGUUUAUGCUGAUUUCGACUGCUUCUGUGGUCUAGUGGUAGAGCGUCCGCCCGGAGAGCAGGUCGGGAUUCGAUCCCCGGCCGCGUCAUACCAAAAGUUGUUGAAAGAUGGUACUUGAUGUAACCCUUGUUUGACAAUUUCAAGUCGGUUCCUAUUUGGGUGCUGCGUUACUCCAGCGAAGGCGGUGCAAUCGUCAGUUAAAAACUGAUUUCUUUGUGGUAUGUUUGUCAAGACUAGGCUCCCGUUAUUUGACCAAGUUCCUUUGGUAUUUCUUUGAGUGUGUCUGGUAAUUAUUCAUCAUUGCAGACGUGAAUAAACCAACCUAAUGAUUUAGAUGGCAAAUAUGGAAGUAUUGCUUAUGCCGUGUGGGGCUCAUGACGUACAUUAGACACUGAACCGGGUAACAAUGUAAGGGAUAUAAGAUAAGCGAAAAAACAUGUUUCUCUGUCGUCGUAAAAUAUAAAGCAGGCUUUGGCUAGAUUAUUUUUGUAGAUUUUCUUUGGACAUUAAAAAACAUAGCUGAUCUAGUUGAGUGUUUUUUUUGUCGUUUCACGCCGCACUCAGCAACAUUCCCGCUAUAUGAUGGUGGUCUGUAAAUAAUCGAGUCUGGACCAGACAAUCCAGUGAUUUACAGCAUUGGGAUACGAUGACAUGCAUCAACCGACCACCACGUUAGUCGCCUCUUAUGACAAGCAUGGCUUGCUGAAGACCUAUUCUCACUUCUAUAGUACAUUUUUGUAACCUGGUUCUUUACGGGGCUAUUGCUGCUCUAUCUUUGUAUAUUUUAUUUAUUAAAAUAACAGGCAUUUUGCAACAGAUUAAAACGCAAUUCAUCAUAAGCAGGGCACUUUAAUAAAACAUGGACUUCGUUUUCUAUCACAUUGUCAUUAUAUUACGGGGAUAGACGUUGUGCUCCUAUCGCCUUAUCGCCCGGUUGUUGUGACCACGUUGGAAUGUUGCCAACUGGAGGUGUUUACUUAGCAUUCCAAACUGCUGGGUGUGUACCAUGAAUGUUAUCUCGUGAACAAACAUGUACUGGCGCGAUUAAAUUUCGGAACGAGGCGAGAUCUGACGUAACUGUCAGUUACGUAAUAGAUAACGAGGACCGCUGCAGUGUUGGUGUAAACGUGGAGGUCCACAAGGGUGAGGUUUGUAGUGAGAGAUUCAGAUGCAUGUCCUAACCUCGAAACGUACGGUCUGGAAUUGUACUUAAAAUAUGAUGAAACUUGCUGUUCAUCAGACGGAACUCUAGACAUCUCAUAGAAAGUCGUAGAACACUAUCGUUCAGUCGUAUUUGAUCGCAGUUGUGUUUUGUACUCUGACUCGAUCAAUUCUAAUAUUGUGUCUGCUUACACAAACCCACACUUAAGUUUAAGGUGGUUCCACGGAGACAGUGUUGGAUGAGGCGUAAAAUAACGUUGUGACACCUUCAAAUCGUCAGGUCGUGCAAGUUUACAUCUAAGGCGAGGUGGAGACGGGUGGAGGUGUUUGACCCACAGUCGGGUGUUAUCGUACGACUGUCGAUGUGUGCUACCAAUCAGCGGCUUGUCUGAUCCAGACUGUCGAUGUGUGCUACCAAUCAGCGGCUUGUCUGAUCCAGACUGUCGAUGUGUGCUACCAAUCAGCGGCUUGUCUGAUCCAGACUGUCGAUGUGUGCUACCAAUCAGCGGCUUGUCUGAUCCAGACUGUCGAUGUGUGCUACCAAUCAGCGGCUUGUCUGAUCCAGACUGUUGAUGUGAAUACCUAUAUCUGCUUGCAUGUAGGCUUCGGUAAUAAAAAGUCAACUUUCUGAA